UGUGAUAUUUUUUUGUCUGUAUUAAAUCUGAUUUAUUUUUUAAUUUAUUUUCAAUGAUUUAUUUUACAUAAUAUUCUAAAUUAUAAUAUUUCUAAAACAUUAGACAUUUAUAUUACGUUAUAUAUUACAUUAGCAAUUGCCAUAAAUCUAUUUGAAUAUAUACAAUCUAAAUAAUUAUUUUUAUAAUUGUAACAAUUAUCUAAUAAAAUUAGAAUCAUUAUCAUCGAUAAAGAUGAAUAAAUGAUAUUUCUGAAUUUCUGAAGAGGGUAAGACGUUUGCAAUGCUUGAUUUAUGAUGUAUUAUAUAUAAACGUGUAAUAACAUUAAUUAAAUAAAUUAAUAAUGUUCUGGUAACAUGAUUUUUCAGAGUAACAAAAAAAAAUUGAAUAAUCAUCAUAUUGACUUCCCCUGGAAUGGCUCAUACGUAACGCUUCUACUGGCACGUGACCUCGUUGUCUUAAUCUAGCCCAGCCGUCGGUCGUCGUACUCCUCGUAAUCUUUCUGAUCGGUUGUACGCAGAAGCGCCUCUAGCGAAAAAAAGUCUGAUCAGAAAUCGUUCCAGUAUUUCACGAUUUUCCACCUUCCUUCUGGAAAAAGAAGUCGUCCACACGGAACGAAACCUUAUCUUGAGCCGAAGUAUCACGUUACAAAACAGAAACAUUGGGGGAUGGGUGAUGUUUACCGUCAUCGACGAAAACGGCAAAACGGACACCGAAUCGGCGUCCGAAUAAAAUUGUAUGGGAUAAAAGUCAAGUAGAGGUCGGAUGGAUGUUUCGUCCAGACGGCAUCGCCUCGUCUUCGACUCGUUUCUUGUCACACACGGCUUGAGUGAGCCUGCCUUUAUCCGUGCUCGCAUGGACACACACGCACACACGGAUACACACGACCAGGCCGGUGUAUACGUGGCAGCAACACACGUAUAGGAGUCGGGAAGGCGAGGAACGCAGAUCGCUAGAGGCACUGUUCCGCUGACCUACUCUACGAUUAUCACUCACUAUAGCCCGAUCGCCGGUGCAGGUGCGUGUGCGUUAACUAGCGUUGCCAACUAUACCUCCUCGAGGAAAGGAGGACGCGGUGCGGGGACGUAAUCAAAUAAACAUUUUCGGUCCUUUUACCGAUUUCUUCUCCAACCCGAUCUCUUUUCCUCCUCAAGUAAUUACGUAUCUAAAGAAUCAAAUACGCGAAUUAUACUUUUUGAAGCUAUUUUUAUUUCCAGCACCUUAUUCGACUGAAUGUUAAUCUUUUUGUAAAUUUUUGUCUAUAAUCAAUAUAUCGGUCAAUUACAUUUAUUCAUUUAUCAGCGUAAAUGCUCUCCGUUUUAAGCAACGUCUAAUUUCAUCUUGUAAACGGCCAGACGCAACGAGGACGUAGUCAUUGAUUGAAGCUAAUCAAUGAUCGUUAGUGGUCGCGAGCAAUGGUCUUAUAUAUACAAGCGUACAAGAUAUUAUUCACGAAUAAUAAUAUAAGCAUAAGUAUAUUCUUGACUUUCUUGAGCAAUAAUUUAUAACUAAUAAUAAUCUAAAUAUAAUAUAAAUCGAUAUAAAUCGAUCACUUAACAGUUAGUUAUAAAUUGUGGAACAUAAAUUUAUCUUUUCUAAAUUUUCUGUCUGAUGAUAAGAUAAUCAAAUAACUCCCGUAACUUGUUUAUAAUUUAUAAAUUAACAAUCAGAAAUAUUUAUUCUGAAUAAUAUGUAUCUUUUAAAUUAUGAAAAAAAUAAAUGCAUACAUAUAUA